GACGACCGGCCGGACACACGUGUGUAAGUGUGACUGGCCCACAAGUGGAGGCUCCGAUCUCCCACCUGACCGUCCUUCGGGGCGGCGGGUCACCCCGGUCAGGCGGCCACCAUCGUUCCGUACGGACGAUGGAGUCGCCCGAAUGUGCGCCCCGCGGCAUCACCGCGGCGGUGCUCCGGUAGUGCCAGGAGCCCCGCCUGUGAUCGUCCGGGGCAUUUUUU
rnacentral:ncRNA from 1 species